ACGAAGGGGGCUAGCGUUGCUCGGAUUGACUGGGCGUAAAGGGCGCGUAGGCGGUUCGUACAGUCAGACGUGAAAUUCCUGGGCUCAACCUGGGGGCUGCGUUUGAUACGUGCGGACUUGAGUGCGGAAGAGGGUCGUGGAAUUCCCAGUGUAGAGGUGAAAUUCGUAGAUAUUGGGAAGAACACCGGUGGCGAAGGCGACUCUCUGGUCUGUAACUGACGCUGAGGAGCGAAAGCGUGGGGAGCGAACAGGA
rnacentral:rRNA from 1 species